CNGCCUUUCGGGUGCGANUCUGUGGNNGUUUGAGGAGCUUAACACCUUCAUGCUUUGCAUAUUCGUGCUCUUGGGUGUACUUGCCCGUGUGGUUGGUUAACAUCAAUUUUGGUGGUCAUAAAAUGACUGGAGGAAUGUAGCUUCGAUCUUGUAUUGAAGUGUUAUAGCCUUCGGUAGAUGUGAUGAUCGAGAUUGAGGAUUGCAACGGAUACCCUUCGGGGCUACCUGUCUGNNCNCUGAUCGUUGCUCUGGUGCCGAAAGCUUGCUUACGGUUAUCAAAGUCGAUGGUCAAUAGGUUAGAACGGGUUAAAUUCGUUAAGGAUGUUGACGUA
rnacentral:rRNA from 1 species